GACGAACGCUGGCGGCGUGCUUAACACAUGCAAGUCGAACGAAGUGGCGAACGGGUGAGUAACGCGUAAUCAACCUGCCCUUCAGAGGGGGACAACAGUUGGAAACGACUGCUAAUACCGCAUACUGAAGGAGGGGAUUGCGUCGGUUUAGCUAGUUGGGGGGGUAACGGCCCACCAAGGCGAUGAUAAGUAGCCGGUCUGGGAGGAUGAACGGCCCCAAGGGGACUUGAACAAGGCCCAGACUCCUACGGGAGGGAGCAGUGGGGAAUCUUCCGAAAUGGACGAAAGUCUGACGGAGCAACGCCGCGUUAGUGAUGACGGCCUUCGGGUUGUAAAGCUCUUUUAAUCGGGACGCGGUACCGGAAUAGAAAGCCACGGCUAACUACGUGCCAGCAGCCGCGGUAAUUC
rnacentral:rRNA from 1 species